rnacentral:rRNA from 1 species
GACGAACGCUGGCGGCGUGCUUAACACAUGCAAGUCGAACGGAAAGGCCCUGCUUUUGUGGGGUGCUCGAGUGGCGAACGGGUGAGUAACACGUGAGUAACCUGCCCUUGACUUUGGUAUAACUUCAGGAAACUGGGGCUACUACCGUAUAGGAGCUCCUGCUGCAUGGUGGGGGUUGGAUAGUUUCGGCUGUUGGGGAUGGACUGGCGGCUUAUCAGCUUGUUGGUGGGGGAGUGGCUUACCAAGGCUUUGACGGGUAGGCCGCCCGGGAGGGUGACCGGGCACCAGGGGACUGAGGUAGGGACCAGAGGGCUACGGGGGGCAACAGGGGGGAAUAUGGCACAAUGGGCGGGAGUCUGAUGCAGAAACGCCGGGGGCGGGAAGACGGCCUUUGGGGUGUAAAACGCUUUAGGCUGAGACGAAGCGGGAGUGACGGUAAUGGGUAAAGAAGCACCGGCUAACUUCGUG